GAUGAACGCUGGCGGCGUGCCUAAUACAUGCAAGUCGAACGCAUUGAGAGAAGUGCUUGCACUUUUCAAUUUGAGUGGCGAACGGGUGAGUAACACGUGGGCAACCUACCUGAUAGCGGGGGAUAACGAGUGGAAACAUUCGCUAAUACCGCAUAACAAUAGAGAAGGCAUCUUCUUUAUUUAAAAGGCGCUUUCAAGCGUCACUAUCACAUGGGCCCGCGGUGCAUUAGUUAGUUGGUGGGGUGAAGGCCUACCAAGACGAUGAUGCAUAGACGAGUUGAGAGACUGAUCGGCCACAUUGGGACUGAGACACGGCCCAAACUCCUACGGGAGGCUGCAGUAGGGAAUCUUCCACAAUGGACGAAAGUCUGCUGGAGCAACGCCGCGUGUGUGAUGAAGGCUUUCGGGUCGUAAAGCACUGUUGUAUGGGAAGAAAUGCUAGGCUAGGAAAUGAGCUUAGUUUGACGGUACCAUACCAGAAAGGGACGGCUAAAUACGUGCCAGCCGCCGCGGUAAGAC
rnacentral:rRNA from 1 species